GACGAACGCUGGCGGCGUGCUUAACACAUGCAAGUCGAGCGAUGAAGCACCUUCGGGUGUGGAUUAGCGGCGAACGGGUGAGGAACACGUGAGGAAUCUGCCUUUCACUUCGGGAUAACUCCGGGAAACCGGGGCUAAUACCGGAUAUUUUCAACUGGCGGCAUCGCCGGUUGAAGACAGUUUUUCGGUGAAAGAUGACCUCGCGGCCUAUCAGCUUGUUGGUGAGGUAAUGGCUCACCAAGGCGGCGACGGGUAGCCGGCCUGAGAGGGCGACCGGCCCCACUGGGACUGAGACACGGCCCAGACUCCUACGGGAGGCAGCAGUGGGAAUAUUGGGCAAUGGAGGAAACUCUGACCCAGCGACGCCGCGUGAGGGAUGAAGGCCUUCGGGUUGUAAACCUCUUUCAGCGGGGAAUAAACGAAAGUGAAGGUACCUGCAGAAGAAGCACCGGCUAACUAUGUGCCAGCAGCCGCCGUAA
rnacentral:rRNA from 1 species